rnacentral:rRNA from 1 species
GAUGAACGCUGGCGGCGUGCCUAAUACAUGCAAGUCGAGCGAAUGGAUUAAGAGCUUGCUCUUAUGAAGUUAGCGGCGGACGGGUGAGUAACACGUGGGUAGCCUGCCCAUAAGACUGGGAUAACUCCGGGAAACCGGGGCUAAUACCGGAUAACAUUUUGAACCGCAUGGUUCGAAAUUGAAAGGCGGCUUCGGCUGUCACUUAUGGAUGGACCCGCGUCGCAUUAGCUAGUUGGUGAGGUAACGGCUCACCAAGGCAACGAUGCGUAGCCGACCUGAGAGGGUGAUCGGCCAAACUGGGACUGAGACACGGCCCAGACUCCUACGGGAGGCAGCAGUAGGGAAUCUUCCGCAAUGGACAAAAGUCUGACGGAGCAACGCCGCGUGAGUGAUGAAGGCUUUCGGGUCGUAAAACUCUGUUGUUAGGGAAGAACAAGUGCUAGUUGAAUAAGCUGGCACCUUGACGGUACCUAACCAGAAAGCCACGGCUAACUACGUGCCAGCAGCCGCAGUAA